rnacentral:sRNA from 1 species
AUAUACAAAAUAAGUUAAAAUACAAAUGUAAAUGUAAAUGCAAAUGUAAAAGCGGAUAGCUUGGCGCGAAAAGUUCGCACUGAACUGCUUCAUAUCACUUAUGUAAACAACAUUCCUCAGUUUUGGCUCGUUUGAGCUCUAAUUAUAAUCGGAUGACAAAAAAAA